rnacentral:rRNA from 1 species
GAAAAGAAACCAACAGGGAUUGCCCUAGUAACGGCGAGUGAAGCGGCAACAGCUCAAAUUUGAAAUCUGGCGUCUUUGGCGUCCGAGUUGUAAUUUGCAGAGGGCGCUUUGGCAUUGGCAGCGGUCCAAGUUCCUUGGAACAGGACGUCACAGAGGGUGAGAAUCCCGUACGUGGUCGCUAGCCUUUACCGUGUAAAGCCCCUUCGACGAGUCGAGUUGUUUGGGAAUGCAGCUCUAAAUGGGAGGUAAAUUUCUUCUAAAGCUAAAUACUGGCCAGAGACCGAUAGCGCACAAGUAGAGUGAUCGAAAGAUGAAAAGCACUUUGGAAAGAGAGUUAAAAAGCACGUGAAAUUGUUGAAAGGGAAGCGCUUGCAGCCAGACUUGCCUGUAGUUGCUCAUCCGGGUUUUUACCCGGUGCACUCUUCUACGGGCAGGCCAGCAUCAGUUUGGGCGGUUGGAUAAAGGUCUCUGUCACGUACCUCCUCUCGGGGAGAACUUAUAGGGGAGACGACAUGCAACCAGCCCGGACUGAGGUCCGCGCAUCUGCUAGGAUGCUGGCGUAAUGGCUGUAAGCGGCCCGUCUUGAAACACGGACCAAGGAGUCUAACAUCUAUGCGAGUGUUUGGGUGUCAAGCCCGAGCGCGUAAUGAAAGUGAACGGAGGUGGGAACCUUUCGGGGUGCACCAUCGACCGAUCCUGAUGUCUUCGGAUGGAUUUGAGUAAGAGCAUAGCUGUUGGGACCCGAAAGAUGGUGAACUAUGCUUGAAUAGGGUGAAGCCAGAGGAAACUCUGGUGGAGGCUCGCAGCGGUUCUGACGUGCAAAUCGAUCGUCAAAUUUGGGCAUAGGGGCGAAAGACUAAUCGAACUAUCUAGUAGCUGGUUCCUGCCGA